GUGCUCGCUUUGACAGCACAUAUACCAAAAAUAGGAAUGAUACAGAGAAGAUUAGCAUGGCCCCUGCACAAGUAUGACACACAAAUUCGUGAAGCGUCCAUAUUUUAG
rnacentral:snRNA from 1 species